GGUCAGACAAGGAAGAGAACACUUGCAACAUCCUGAAGGUUUAAUGACUUUGAAUAUACACGACAGACACGAUGCUGUGAACUAUCAUUACACACUUCUCUGUGGAACAAAUAACAGAUUUGUCCUCACAAACAGAAUAGAACAUAGAAAGCAUGGGAUAGUCUUCUGCAUGUACAGUAUUCAAAUAUAGAGAGAGAGCAUUUAUAAAUCCAGUUAUCUACCCGUAUGUCUAGUAGUAAAUAGUUUAGAAUUUUUUUUCUUUCAAAAGUGAUACAUUUGUUGACUUAAACAAAUACAAGUAAAUAGAACAAUCUAUGAAUUAAAAAAUAGGGAAAAAAACACAAAGAAAAAAAUUAAGCAAAAGGAAACAAAACCUAAAAGAAUCAAAUGUAAAAAAAAACAAAAAAAAACAACUUUAGUGCCAGAAUUACUUUCAUCUAUAUAACAAUCUUGUAUUAUUAGCCAAGCAGAAUUAAAAGAUUCAGAAAAUAGAGGGGGGAAAAUCAUUAAAAUUAGUGAUUCGUAUUAUUAUUAUUAUCAGUAAGAACAAUCAUAAAUGCCUGACAUAUAAGAACAAAAAAAACAAACAAAAAGACAUCAAUUUAUUUCUGAUCAUAAGGAAAAAAAUGAUUUUAGAGGAUUAAAUAUGUGUCUAAAAAGAUUUGGCAAUUGACCAUCAUGUUCCAUAUUUUCUCUAUGAAAUGAUCUAUUUGAUCUAAAUACACAGGUAUAUGUGCAUUGCAACAGACCAAUGUUACAACAAAACAAGAAGGCCAAGUCCAAAUCCUAGAAGAUUUUUUUUAGCUCAGAAUUAUAAGUCCCUGUGUCAAAGAAGCUCAAAAACAAAUCCCAUUUUCUCCAGAAGGAGAUGCAGUGGUUAAGCGGUACAGCACUUAGCUUCUGAACCGGGGGUCCCGGGUUUGAAUCCUGGGAUUUUUAAUUUUGGGAUCUUUGAGCGCCUCUGAGUCCACCCAGCUCUAAUAGGUACCUGACAUUAGUUGGGGAAAAGUAAAGGCGGUUGGUCGUUGUGCUGACCACAUGACACCCUCAUUAACCGUAGGACACUAGAAUCCAAAGAUACUUCACGUCAUAAUAUGACCACAAUUUCUUACUGCAAUCUUAAACAUUAAGUCAGUUUGCUUAUAUGAAGAACGAAAAUGUAUUUUAAAAAAAGCUCAUAUAAGCAUCAAUUGCAAAAGAAACUUAAAUUCAAGGGUCUGUUCUUUUCUCACAAAACAACUGGAACAUCUUAACACAAGAAUAAAGCUAAAAAAGAGUCAUGCCCUUAAAAGCUCAGUUCAAGAUGAAAUCAUAAAAAAUGUAUUUUAAAUCUAAAGAAAGUCCACACACAAAAAAAAAUGCACUCAACAAUCACUCACAGGUUGGCUGAGAUUGUACAAAGCUGGAAUACAGAUGGCUUAGUAAUUAAAAAAUAAUUCAAAAUUCCUAAUUAGCAUAAAUUUAUUUUACUAAUGUAGAGAAAUAGGAAAAAAAACUUCUGUUGAUACAAAAACUAAAACAAGUCAUUUAAUUAAAUAUUCAUCAACAACAUUUAGUGUCGUUUUUGCAAACCAUAUUUUUUUAUACAGAGCAAAGAAAAACAAAUCUAGAACCAAAAAAAAAAAACAUGUAUGAGAUUAUUAAAACCAUUCAGUGGAUACUAUUGAGUAUAUGUGAGCAAAGUUUUUCAUCUUUCAUGUCACAGUAAGAAAAAAAAUGAAACUACUUUACUGUAGAUAAUAAAAUAAUAAGGACAAGGAGUUCAGGUCGAUUUUGUUAAAUUGUUUGUCAGUGUUCCGUUAACCUGGGCAAGCACUAAAAUGAAAUGGGCAUUUUUACUAUACAGACAGGUAGUGAACAUUAUCUGCAUGGAAAUGAUCUAGAACAAAUGUAUUGGAAGUGGAUCUGAUUAAGUCAUUGUAUGUAAUUACUAUUAAGGAGUGCCAUUCUACAAUAUAAUGUCUGUGUGGUCUAAGAAAGAACUAAAUGCAUCAAUUCACAAUGACAAGAUUACUUUGUGUAGCUCUGGAUAAUGAAGAUUGGAACAAAAAAAAGGUUCACUAGGACACAGCAGCCUCUAAACGCAAAUAUGAAACGUUAAGCAUACUAAAGUGGCAACACAAGAAAAAAGUGAGGCAGCAAAGAUUAAAAAAAAAAA
rnacentral:sRNA from 1 species